rnacentral:rRNA from 1 species
GACGAACGCUGGCGGCGUGCUUAACACAUGCAAGUCGAACGAUGAAGCCGGAGCUUGCUCUGGUGAAUUAGUGGCGAACGGGUGAGUAACACGUGAGUAACCUGCCCUUGACUCUGGGAUAACUGCGGGAAACUGUAGCUAAUACCGGAUACGACCCUCGGAGGCAUCUCCUGGGGGUGGAAAGAAUUUCGGUCAAGGAUGGACUCGCGGCCUAUCAGCUAGUUGGUGAGGUAAAGGCUCACCAAGGCGACGAAGGGUAGCCGGCCUGAGAGGGUGACCGGACACACUGGGACUGAGACACGGCCCAGACUCCUACGGGAGGCAGCAGUGGGGAAUAUUGCACAAUGGGCGCAAGCCUGAUGCAGCAACGCCGCGUGAGGGAUGACGGCCUUCGGGUUGUAAACCUCUUUUAGCAGGGAAGAAGCGAAAGUGACGGUACCUGCAGAAAAAGCACCGGCUAACUACGUGCCAGCCGCCGCAGUAA